rnacentral:rRNA from 1 species
AGUCAAGUAAUUAAGUGCAUGUGGUGGAUGCCUUGGCAGUCAGAGGCGAUGAAAGACGUGAUAGCCUGCGAAAAGCUCCGGGGAGGCGGCAAAUAUCCUUUGAUCCGGAGAUGUCUGAAUGGGGGAACCCACCUACUUUAAGGUAGGUAUUGCAACAUGAAUACAUAGUGUUGCAAGGCGAACGAGGGGAAGUGAAACAUCUCAGUACCCUUAGGAAAAGAAAUCAAUUGAGAUUCCCUCAGUAGCGGCGAGCGAACGGGGAUCAGCCCAUUAAGUUAUGUGUGUUUUAGUGGAACGCUCUGGGAAGUGCGAACGUAGAGGGUGAUAUUCCCGUACACGAAAGGGCACACAUAAUGAUGACGAGUAGGGCGAGGCACGUGAAACCUUGUCUGAAUAUGGGGGGACCAUCCUCCAAGGCUAAAUACUCCUGACUGACCGAUAGUGAACCAGUACCGUGAGGGAAAGGCGAAAAGAACCCCUGUGAGGGGAGUGAAAUAGAUCCUGAAACCGCAUGCAUACAAGCAGUGGGAGCACCUUCGUGGUGUGACUGCGUACCUUUUGUAUAAUGGGUCAGCGACUUAUAUUCAGUAGCGAGGUUAACCGUAUAGGGGAGCCGUAGAGAAAUCGAGUCUUAAUAGGGCGUUUAGUUGCUGGGUAUAGACCCGAAACCAGGCGAUCUAUCCAUGAGCAGGUUGAAGGUUGGGUAACACUAACUGGAGGACCGAACCCACUGUCGUUGAAAAGCCAGGGGAUGACUUGUGGAUAGGGGUGAAAGGCUAAUCAAGCCUGGUGAUAGCUGGUUCUCCCCGAAAGCUAUUUAGGUAGCGCCUCGGACGAAUACCAUAGGGGGUAGAGCACUGUUUCGGCUAGGGGGUCAUCCCGACUUACCAAACCGAUGCAAACUCCGAAUACCUAUGAGUACUAUCCGGGAGACAGACUGCGGGUGCUAACGUCCGUAGUCAAGAGGAAAACAAUCCAGACCGCCAGCUAAGGCCCCAAAAUCAUAGUUAAGUGGGAAACGAUGUGGGAAGGCAUAGACAGCUAGGAGGUUGGCUUAGAAGCAGCCACCCUUUAAAGAAAGCGUAAUAGCUCACUAGUCGAGUCGGCCUGCGCGGAAGAUGUAACGGGGCUAAAACUAUGUGCCGAAGCUGCGGAUGUAUACUUUGUAUACGUGGUAGGGGAGCGUUCUGUAAGCCGAUGAAGGUGUGUUGAGAAGCAUGCUGGAGGUAUCAGAAGUGCGAAUGCUGACGUGAGUAACGACAAAACGGGUGAAAAACCCGUUCGCCGAAAGACCAAGGGUUCCAGUCCAACGUUAAUCGGGGCUGGGUGAGUCGACCCCUAAGGCGAGGCCGAAAGGCGUAGUCGAUGGGAAAAUGGUUAAUAUUCCAUUACUUCUGUGUAAUGCGAUGAGAGGACGGAGAAGGCUAAAUCAGCCUGGCGUUGGUUGUCCAGGUGAAAGGAUGUAGGCAUGUAUCUUAGGCAAAUCCGGGGUACUCUAUGCUGAGAUCUGAUAGCAAGCUGUACUUGUACAGCGAAGUGGUUGAUGCCAUGCUUCCAGGAAAAGUCUCUAAGCUUCAGUUACACAGGAAUCGUACCCGAAACCGACACAGGUGGUCAGGUCGAGUAGACCAAGGCGCUUGAGAGAACUCUGCUGAAGGAACUAGGCAAAAUGGUACCGUAACUUCGGGAGAAGGUACGCUGUUGUUGGUGAUGGAACUCGCUUCCUGAGCUGACGACAGCCGCAGAAACCAGGCCGCUGCAACUGUUUAUUAAAAACAUAGCACUCUGCAAACACGAAAGUGGACGUAUAGGGUGUGAUGCCUGCCCGGUGCUGGAAGGUUAAUUGAUGGGGUUAGCGUAAGCGAAGCUCUUGAUCGAAGCCCCAGUAAACGGCGGCCGUAA